UACGUAGGGGGCGAGCGUUGUCCGGAUUUACUGGGCGUAAAACGCUUGUAGGUGGCCACGCCAAGUCGGACGUGAAAUCUCCCGGCUUAACUGGGAGGGGUCGUUCGAUACUGGCGGGCUCGAGGCAGGUAGGGGGAAGCGGAAUUCCCGGUGUAGUGGUGGAAUGCGUAGAUAUCGGGAGGAACACCAGUGGCGAAGGCGGCUUCCUGGACCUGUUCUGACACUGAAGAGCGAAAGCGUGGGGAGCGAUCCGG
rnacentral:rRNA from 1 species